UGCCGUCUUUAUCUUCUUGAAAGGAAAAAAAGUGGUGAAGGCCAGAUUUUUUGACCGAGCGAAUGGCUGAGUUUGCAGGGCUGAGAGUGAUGCUCCUGGCUGCUGGGUGGAGAUUACGCCUCGAAGACAGACUUUUUAUUUCUCAUAAUUUCAUAUUCAGAGGGCUGGGGCAAAUCACCUAUACUUCAGCAGUUAGAAAUCUUGGUCUGAAAUCCAAUGUCCUGAAGAACAGUGCGAUGAAAUGGAAAUUCUUGUUAAAGUUAAAAAGUCCAGAGGCAGCCUUGAGUUGGAGGCACUUCCCGGUCCCUAUCCGUGGCUGGGACCCGGCUCCAGUCUUCCUCCUCGUCCUCUGUCUCAGUCUCCCAUCCUCAAAG